AAAAAAUAAACCCCAAAGCAAUGGCCUUUCUCAGAUAAAGUCAGGGGCUACUCCUGAGUUUGCUGGAAACUCCAGAGUAUCCUGUGACUUUGCAACAACCCAGUCCCCUGUCCAGAUGGAUACUGCCACCAUCAUCCUUUCUCUGAACUCAUCCUGUGACGGCGC
rnacentral:lncRNA from 11 species